rnacentral:sRNA from 1 species
AUGUUUGAUGUAGGGCUGUUUCGAAUCAAACAACUACAGGAUGAGACGGUGAACGAUUUUUUCGUCCGGUUACAGACAGAGAUGAAGGGUGCAGUUAUUCCAGAAAACAUCGUGGUCGGAAUGGUUAUUCAAGCACUUAAUGGGAAAAUUGGCGAGAAGGUUUACUCAAGAGUUCCCCAACCAUUAACACUGACGGAGGUAAGAGAAGCAGCGUUGCAAGCAGAGCGAGCUGUCAAACUAAAUUCAGAAGACCAUGGUGCAUCUAUAGCGAAUCUUCAGACGAUGCUAGAGAACAUGAGUACAACGUUGAUGGCAAUUGGAACAGGGCAGCAGCAGCAGCAACAACAACAGCAGCAUCAUCAGCAGUAUCAACAGCAGCAGCAUCAGCAGCAGUAUCAACAGCAGAACCAGCAACACAGAGAGUACGACGGCGGUUACAACAAUGGACAGAGUCGACAAUCAAGACAGACCAUCAGGGAGGAGGAUAAAGUCUGCUAUAAUUGCGGUACGUUGUGUAAGCGUAGUAAUAAAAGGUGCCCUGCUUUUGAUAAAAUAUGCCAUAAAUGUAAAAAACAAGGUCACUUUGGUAGAGUUUGUAUUAAUAGUAGAAGCCAAGAAAGAUAUAGAAAUGAUAGGGGUACUUAUAAUCAUAAUAACAAUUUUCACAAACGUGGGUUUUAGGGAUUCGCGCCUGUCCGUAGGCGUCAGUCUGAGGAUAGGCACAAAGGCAGAUCUUAUGCAGAGGUGAAUUUGGCGACAUCUAUGCAUAAAAAUACUACUGUUGUAGAUGUGCAAGGCAGAAAAACGCACAGCCUUGUAGACACAGGCGCACAAAUUACAUGUUGCAGCUCAGAUUUUUUUUUAGUAAAUUGCCCUUUAAAGAUAAUAAGCUUUGCAAAUCUGAGUAUUUUAACAUAACAGGUGUUGGAGGUACACGUUCACGGGUAUUAGGCAAAAUUUUAUUACCACUGUCAUUUAAAGGCACUGUAUUUCAACAGUACGUACAUGUAAUUGAAGGUCUUCAGCAUUCUUUGAUUAUAGGAGUAGAUUUUAUGUUGUCACAUAAAGUUAAAAUAGAUUUUGACACACAAACAUUAUGUUUUAAAGACACUGAACAAGAAAUCUGCACUUUUAAAGCUAAUACUGGACUUGCAAGGUCAUUGUUAACUGUAACUAUACCCCCACAACAUGAGACUAAUAUUAGCAUAAAAAUUUCAAAACGAAAUUCAGGGGAUAUAGUUCUUUUAGAACCAAAUGAUGAAAUACAGGGUUUAAAUCUGAUGAGUGCAAAGUGUUUGGUUAAAAUUAACAAAGGAAAAGCAGUCAUUAGAGUUUUGAACCCUACAAAGAAAUCAGUUACAAUUCAUGCAAGUAAAGUUUUAGCAACUGUGUCAGACAUUGAAAUAGAGUCAAUACAAGAGUUAAAUGAUGCACCUACAAAUGAUGCUAACAUACAUGCAAUAGAUACAGAAAAUAACAAAACGAAAACACGCAUUGAUUUUGAUUUAAAGAAUUCUGACUUAACACAAGAGCAAAAACAAAAGCUUUUUACAUUUUUGAAUGGUAAUAGAGAUGUUUUCGCUACAAGUCUUUCAGAGUUAGGUCAUUCAAAAAUAUACAAACACAAAAUAGAGACAUACAGAGACGCAAAACCAGUGAAAAGACCAUUCUACCACCAGUCGCCGCCUGUUGAAAAGGAAAUUAGCAGACAUGUCGAAGAGAUGGAACGACACAACCUGAUAAAGCCAUCAAAUAGUGAGUACCAUUCUCCCGUGGUUCUUGUGAAAAAGAAACAGUCAGGGCAAUGGAGAUUUUGUUGUGAUUAUCGUUUGCUCAACAAGCAAACAAUUCCUAUGUCCUUUCCAUUGCCUAGGCUUGAAUGUGUCUUUGAUACAUUAGGAGAAUCACAAGCAAAUAUAUUCUCAUCACUUGAUCUUUAUAGUGGCUUCCAUCAAAUUGAGAUGGACGAGGAAACAAGGCACAAAUCUGCAUUCAUUACACGAAAUGGUGUUUAUGAAUGGCUUCGUUUACCUUUCGGUCUCAGAAACUCUCCUGUCAGUUUUCAGAUGAUCAUGACUCAAGUGCUCAGAGGGUUAAAUUGGAAAUUUGUUUUGGUCUAUGUCGAUGACAUUCUUAUCUUUAGUAAAACUUUUGAGGAGCAUCUUAGGCAUCUAGAACAAGUAUUUAACAGACUCCGAGACGCAAAUCUUACAUUGAAACCAACCAAAUGUGAGUUUGCAGUCAAAGAAGUCAAAUACUUAGGUCACAUCCUAUCAAAACACGGAGUUCAGGUGGAUCCAUCUAAAACGGAUGCUGUUAGUUCAUUUCCGGUCCCUAAAAAUCAAAAACAGGUUAAAUCUUUUCUGGGCAUGUGUAGUUACUAUCGGAAGUUCGUUGAUUCUUUUGCUAACAUUGCUUCUCCUUUGAAUGCUUUAUUGAGAAAGGAUUUUGAAAAGAAAUUUCAUUGGACUUCGUUAUGUCAAGAAGCUUUUGACAAGCUCAAAAAGGCUUUAUUAUCAGCACCGAUCUUGGCAUAUCCUGAUAUGAACAAACCUUUUAUGCUGACUUGUGAUGCUAGUAGUACGGCAAUUGGGUUUGUUUUAGGUCAAUUAGAUAGUCAAGGUCGAGAGCAUGUCAUAGCUUAUGGAGGUAGAAGUUUGUCUAGGGCAGAACGAAUCUGGUGCACCACAGAACAAGAAUGUUUAGCUGUUCUAGAGGGUGUCAAACAUUUUCGUGCUUAUUUGACUCGUCGAUUCAGAAUUUUCACAGAUCACAAGGCUCUUAAAUAUUUGAUGGAUCAAAAGGUUGCAGUCGGUAAAUUAGGUCGUUGGGCUCUUAAAUUACAAGACUUCGACUUUGAUAUCGUUCACAAACCAGGUAAAAACAAUGAGGUGGCAGAUGCUCUCAGCAGACGCACAUAUACUGAAGUGGCUGAUGAAAAUAAAACAUCGCCAGUGAAAGUGUUUGUUGCAAAUGCAAAUGAAAAUGAGUUUCUGUCAGAUACAAUUGAGGUUAAUGCUUGUGAGACAGAUCUAGAGGUAGACAAUAAAGGAGACGAGGACUUGGAGAGUGUAGAGCUCGAAUUAUUUUAUGGAGACUAUACACUUCUUGCUCCUCUAGAUCCUGAAGUCGUCAAUAGUGAGUUAUUGGACAUUCCUGCUGUAGGUCAGUUACAACAAGUUGACCCAGAUUUUCAGGAUAUGUUUAAUUACUUGCAAAAUGACGUUUUACCUCAAAGUGAAAAGGUUCGACAAAAAGUUCUAGCAGAAUCUCAAGAUUACUCGGUUUGUGAUGGUGUUUUGUAUAAAUGGUUUCAAAAGAGGUUUAAAACGAGUCCAGAUGAAAAGUACAUUAAACAAUUAUGUCUUCCAUUAGCUCUCAGACGUCAUGCUUUGCUAGCUUAUCAUGACUUGAAUUAUGGUGGUGCACACUUAGGAUUGGACAGGGUUUUGGCUGCUUUGAGACAAAAAUAUUUUUGGCCAAAAAUGCACCAAACAGUCAAAGACCAUGUUCUUUCUUGUGACAGGUGUCAACGAAUUAAGGUUGACCAUACACGCAAAAAUCCACCUUUAAAUCCUUUGCCAGUGGUAGGUCCAUUUGAUCGAUGGCAUAUGGAUUUCUUAAAGCUGAGCAAGACAAACAAAGGUGAAACAUACUUGCUCGUUUUGGUUGAUAGUUGUAGUAAGUGGGUUGAAGCAUUUGCUAUGAAAACACAAGAGGCUUCUGAAGUUGCAAAGGUCUUGUUCAAAGAGGUUUUCUCUAGAUUUGGCGCAGCAAGGUUUUUGGUUAGUGAUCGUGGAAAAAGCUUCAUGAAUAACUUAGUUCUGUCGUUAUGUGAGAUAUUUGAUGUUACAAGAUAUCAUACUAGCUCGUACCAUCCUCAAACAAAUGGGUUAGUAGAAAGGUGCAACUCAACUCUGAUAAAGUCUUUCAGAGCAUACUGUGAUAAGGCUCAAAAUAAUUGGCCCGAUAAAUUACCCGGAAUUUUAAUGGCUUUACGCAAUUCUCCUUCAACUCAAUCAACUGAGUUUUCUCCCUUUCAUUUGCUGUUUGGUAGAGAAAUGAAUCUACCUUUUGACACUUCUGUUACACCUAAACAGAAUUUGUCAUCAGAUGCCAAGCUUCAAAUGGAAGAAGUUCUAUCAAAUCUAAAGAUCACACAAGAUCUUGCCACUAAAAAUAUGUUAGAAAAACAGUUAAAAUCUAAAAGAGCGAUACGACCGAAAUUCAAAAAUUCCACAAUUUAA